GUCGACUUCUCGAAAUGCAUGUGAACAUCGUAGAGAAUAAUUCCAUUUUCUUGUUUUACACAAGUCUGCCAAAAACAGAAUUGUACAUAGCUGCAAUGCAAAACUAAAGAAGACUUUGUCACAGACUAGAAAGGCCACGGUAAAAGAAGUAAGAACAUUGCAUGACUUUGUCAUGAGGUUUGUUAUUAACAGCAAGCUCAACAGAUACAUUCGAAGGUUGAUCUCAAUCCAGAUAUGAAAAGUUAAACAGCAAUGAUCCCUUAAAAACUGAUGCAUGCCUUAAACGGCUUCUAAAACACUGCUAUCGAUUGUUACACUACAGACUUCCAACAAAAACAAUUUCUUUGAACUUCAUCUUGCUUCAUAUUAUGCAAAUUAAGCUGAUGUGUGCUUCCGCGUGUACACCGUGUGAAUUUUGCUCUUGGCUUCUUUGAACUUCAUCUUGUUCUUGGUCUUCCCGAUAUGACAUUCAAAGGAUAUGACAUUCAAAGAAGUCGCCUCAUCUAUGUGUGCCAAUUCUUCCUCCAUUUCAAUUAAGUUGUCUUCCUCAGUUGGUACAUGAGCUGCAACAUUUGGUCCGGCUUCGUUUACAUUUUGUUAGCUGCACAAGGGGUUUCGCCUAUAGAUGCUCCAUUCCAUGUGGUAGCAACAAAUUUCCCCUAAGGGAAGAAUGAAACAAUCAGUUGAGAUUUUAUUUCCUAUUGAUCUCAUUCUUAUAAACGAAAUGUAAUAAAUGUUUACUAACUUGUUCAUUAACUACUCAGUCGCUCUGUGUUUAAAUUGAUUCUUAGUUCUCCUUGAAACUAAUCUUGUUGGAAUUUACUAUAACCAGAGCAUUGGUAUCAAAGUAAAAGGUGCGAAGUAGUAGUAAUUUACUCACAAUCUGGAGUGAAUAGCCCAAAUGGUCACUAAACUUUGCACCAGGUCCGCAAAAGGUCACUGAACUUUCAAUAUUGUCU
rnacentral:lncRNA from 1 species